UACGUAGGGGGCAAGCGUUGUCCGGAUUUAUUGGGCGUAAAGAGCGUGUAGGCGGUUUGGUAGGUCCGCUGUGAAAACUCGAGGCUCAACCUCGAGACGCCGGUGGAAACCAUCAGGCUAGAGUCCGGAAGAGGAGAGUGGAAUUCCUGGUGUAGUGGUGAAAUGCGCAGAUAUCAGGAAGAACACCCGUGGCUAAGGCGGCUCUCUAGUACGGUACUGACGCUGAGACGCGAAAGCGUGGGGAGCGAACAGG
rnacentral:rRNA from 1 species